rnacentral:rRNA from 1 species
UACGGGGGGGGGCAAGCGUUUGUUCGGAAUUACUGGGCGUAAAGGGCUCGUAGGCGGCCAACUAAGUCAGACGUGAAAUCCCUCGGCUUAACCGGGGAACUGCGUCUGAUACUGGAUGGCUUGAGUUUGGGAGAGGGAUGCGGAAUUCCAGGUGUAGCGGUGAAAUGCGUAGAUAUCUGGAGGAACACCGAUGGCGAAGGCAGCCCCCUGGGUCAAGAUUGACGCUCAUGCACGAAAGCGUGGGGAGCAAACAGG